AACCCUCCCACACUGUUGGUGGGAAUGUAAAUUGAUACAGACACAAUGGAGAAAGGGGACUGUUGCUCGCCAGACUCCGUCCAUGGAAUUCUCCAGGCAAGAAUACUGAAGUGGGUUGCCAUUUCCUUCUCCAGGGGAUCUUCCUGACCCAGGGAUUAAACCCAGGUCUCCUGCAUUGCAGGCAGGUUCAGAGCUACCAUAUGAUACAGCAGUCCCACUCCUGGGCAUAUAUCCAGAGGUGAUAGGUGAUGGAGAGAGAUAAACUGGGAGGUUAGGGUUGACAUGUACUCACUACUAUACUUAAAAUAGAUAACCAACAAGGACUUAUCCUGUGGCAUAGGAAAGUCUGCUCAAUAUUCUGUAAUAGCAUAAAUGGGAAAAGAAUUUGUAAAGAAAAUAGCUACAUGUAUGUGUGUAACUGAGUCACUUUGCUGCACACCUGAAACUAACACACUUUUUUCAUCAACCAUAUACUCCAGUACACAAUAGAAGUUUUUAAUUAAUUAAAAAUAAUAAAUAUUGAUCAUCUUCUCACGUG